CUUAUUUUUAGCAUAGCCUUUAUAAUCUUCUCAAUGUUAGCUCUAUAUCUUUUGAUCUUUACUCAAUUUGUAAAAUUCUAAUAGCCAACAAUUGUUUUCUUGUCAACCCAUCUUUCUAAGGUAGCAUACUCUAAGUUGAUACAUGUUCUUCAAUCGACAUAAUAGGUUUUUGACUUGUCAUAAGUUUUAUUAGCAUAUAUCCUUUCAUUAAAGUAUUUGUUGUUUAAUUAGCUUAUAAUGCAUAAAGUAAAAGUUAAGACCAUUCCUUCACUCUUCUAUUGCAAGCUUUAACUAAGGCUUUUAUAAUUGAUAGAUAUCUAUG
rnacentral:lncRNA from 1 species